rnacentral:rRNA from 1 species
UACGUAGGGUGCAAGCGUUAAUCGGAAUUACUGGGCGUAAAGCGUGCGCAGGCGGUUUUGUAAGCCAGAUGUGAAAUCCCCGGGCUUAACCUGGGAAUGGCAUUUGGGACUGCAAGGCUUGAGUGCGGCAGAGGAGACUGGAAUUCCUGGUGUAGCAGUGAAAUGCGUAGAUAUCAGGAGGAACACCGAUGGCGAAGGCAGGUCUCUGGGCUGACACUGACGCUCAUGCACGAAAGCGUGGGGAGCAAACGGG